GGGGCUGUGGCUGAGUGGUGGAGCCUCUGCCUGGCACGCAGAAGGUUCCAGGUUCAAGCCCCGGUAUCCCCA
rnacentral:tRNA from 1 species